rnacentral:rRNA from 2 species
CACACUAUCAUUAACUGAAUCCAUAGGUUAAUGAGGCGAACCGGGGGAACUGAAACAUCUAAGUACCCCGAGGAAAAGAAAUCAACCGAGAUUCCCCCAGUAGCGGCGAGCGAACGGGGAGGAGCCCAGAGCCUGAAUCAGUGUGUGUGUUAGUGGAAGCGUCUGGAAAGGCGUGCGAUACAGGGUGACAGCCCCGUACACAAAAAUGCACAUAUUGUGAGCUCGAUGAGUAGGGCGGGACACGUGGUAUCCUGUCUGAAUAUGGGGGGACCAUCCUCCAAGGCUAAAUACUCCUGACUGACCGAUAGUGAACCAGUACCGUGAGGGAAAGGCGAAAAGAACCCCGGCGAGGGGAGUGAAAAAGAACCUGAAACCGUGUACGUACAAGCAGUGGGAGCCUCUUUAUGGGGUGACUGCGUACCUUUUGUAUAAUGGGUCAGCGACUUAUAUUCUGUAGCAAGGUUAACCGAAUAGGGGAGCCGAAGGGAAACCGAGUCUUAACUGGGCGUUAAGUUGCAGGGUAUAGACCCGAAACCCGGUGAUCUAGCCAUGGGCAGGUUGAAGGUUGGGUAACACUAACUGGAGGACCGAACCGACUAAUGUUGAAAAAUUAGCGGAUGACUUGUGGCUGGGGGUGAAAGGCCAAUCAAACCGGGAGAUAGCUGGUUCUCCCCGAAAGCUAUUUAGGUAGCGCCUCGUGAAUUCAUCUCCGGGGGUAGAGCACUGUUUCGGCAAGGGGGUCAUCCCGACUUACCAACCCGAUGCAAACUGCGAAUACCGGAGAAUGUUAUCACGGGAGACACACGGCGGGUGCUAACGUCCGUCGUGAAGAGGGAAACAACCCAGACCGCCAGCUAAGGUCCCAAAGUCAUGGUUAAGUGGGAAACGAUGUGGGAAGGCCCAGACAGCCAGGAUGUUGGCUUAGAAGCAGCCAUCAUUUAAAGAAAGCGUAAUAGCUCACUGGUCGAGUCGGCCUGCGCGGAAGAUGUAACGGGGCUAAACCAUGCACCGAAGCUGCGGCAGCGACACUAUGUGUUGUUGGGUAGGGGAGCGUUCUGUAAGCCUGUGAAGGUGGCCUGUGAGGGUUGCUGGAGGUAUCAGAAGUGCGAAUGCUGACAUAAGUAACGAUAAAGCGGGUGAAAAGCCCGCUCGCCGGAAGACCAAGGGUUCCUGUCCAACGUUAAUCGGGGCAGGGUGAGUCGACCCCUAAGGCGAGGCCGAAAGGCGUAGUCGAUGGGAAACAGGUUAAUAUUCCUGUACUUGGUGUUACUGCGAAGGGGGGACGGAGAAGGCUAUGUUGGCCGGGCGACGGUUGUCCCGGUUUAAGCGUGUAGGCUGGUUUUCCAGGCAAAUCCGGAAAACCAAGGCUGAGGCGUGAUGACGAGGCACUACGGUGCUGAAGCGACAAAUGCCCUGCUUCCAGGAAAAGCCUCUAAGCAUCAGGUAACAUCAAAUCGUACCCCAAACCGACACAGGUGGUCAGGUAGAGAAUACCAAGGCGCUUGAGAGAACUCGGGUGAAGGAACUAGGCAAAAUGGUGCCGUAACUUCGGGAGAAGGCACGCUGAUAUGUAGGUGAAGCGACUUGCUCGUGGAGCUGAAAUCAGUCGAAGAUACCAGCUGGCUGCAACUGUUUAUUAAAAACACAGCACUGUGCAAACACGAAAGUGGACGUAUACGGUGUGACGCCUGCCCGGUGCCGGAAGGUUAAUUGAUGGGGUUAGCGGUAACGCGAAGCUCUUGAUCGAAGCCCCGGUAAACGGCGGCCGUAACUAUAACGGUCCUAAGGUAGCGAAAUUCCUUGUCGGGUAAGUUCCGACCUGCACGAAUGGCGUAAUGAUGGCCAGGCUGUCUCCACCCGAGACUCAGUGAAAUUGAACUCGCUGUGAAGAUGCAGUGUACCCGCGGCAAGACGGAAAGACCCCGUGAACCUUUACUAUAGCUUGACACUGAACAUUGAGCCUUGAUGUGUAGGAUAGGUGGGAGGCUUUGAAGUGUGGACGCCAGUCUGCAUGGAGCCGACCUUGAAAUACCACCCUUUAAUGUUUGAUGUUCUAACGUUGGCCCGUAAUCCGGGUUGCGGACAGUGUCUGGUGGGUAGUUUGACUGGGGCGGUCUCCUCCUAAAGAGUAACGGAGGAGCACGAAGGUUGGCUAAUCCUGGUCGGACAUCAGGAGGUUAGUGCAAUGGCAUAAGCCAGCUUGACUGCGAGCGUGACGGCGCGAGCAGGUGCGAAAGCAGGUCAUAGUGAUCCGGUGGUUCUGAAUGGAAGGGCCAUCGCUCAACGGAUAAAAGGUACUCCGGGGAUAACAGGCUGAUACCGCCCAAGAGUUCAUAUCGACGGCGGUGUUUGGCACCUCGAUGUCGGCUCAUCACAUCCUGGGGCUGAAGUAGGUCCCAAGGGUAUGGCUGUUCGCCAUUUAAAGUGGUACGCGAGCUGGGUUUAGAACGUCGUGAGACAGUUCGGUCCCUAUCUGCCGUGGGCGCUGGAGAACUGAGGGGGGCUGCUCCUAGUACGAGAGGACCGGAGUGGACGCAUCACUGGUGUUCGGGUUGUCAUGCCAAUGGCACUGCCCGGUAGCUAAAUGCGGAAGAGAUAAGUGCUGAAAGCAUCUAAGCACGAAACUUGCCCCGAGAUGAGUUCUCCCUGACUCUUUGAGAGUCCUGAAGGAACGUUGAAGACGACGACGUUGAUAGGCCGGGUGUGUAAGCGCAGCGAUGCGUUGAGCUAACCGGUACUAAUGAACCGUGAGGCUUAACCUU